GGCAGCAUGAUCUAGCUUGCUAGAUUGAUGGCGAGUGGCGAACGGGUGAGUAAUACAUCGGAACGUGCCCUGUAGUGGGGGAUAACUAGUCGAAAGAUUAGCUAAUACCGCAUACGACCUGAGGGUGAAAGUGGGGGACCGCAAGGCCUCAUGCUAUAGGAGCGGCCGAUGUCUGAUUAGCUAGUUGGUGAGGUAAAGGCUCACCAAGGCGACGAUCAGUAGCUGGUCUGAGAGGACGAUCAGCCACACUGGGACUGAGACACGGCCCAGACUCCUACGGGAGGCAGCAGUGGGGAAUUUUGGACAAUGGGGGCAACCCUGAUCCAGCAAUGCCGCGUGUGUGAAGAAGGCCUUCGGGUUGUAAAGCACUUUUGUCCGGAAAGAAAUCGCACUUACUAAUAUUAGGUGUGGAUGACGGUACCGGAAGAAUAAGGACCGGCUAACUACGUGCCAGCAGCCGCGGUAAUACGUAGGGUCCAAGCGUUAAUCGGAAUUACUGGGCGUAAAGCGUGCGCAGGCGGUUGUGC
rnacentral:rRNA from 1 species